GACACGCUGGCGGCGUGCUUAAUACAUUGCAAGUCAACUUGACUUUAGAUAGCAAUAUCGAAAAGUAGGGUGGCGCACGGGUGCGUAACGCGUAGGUAAUCUGCCCUGAGGUCUGACAUAACCCGUCGAAAGGCGGGGCUAACAUCAGAUGAUAUAUAAUCACGACAUCGUGGAAAUAUCAAAUCUUCGGAGCCUUGGGAUGAGCCUGCGUCUGAUCAGGUAGUUGGCGGAGUAAUAGCCCACCAAGCCUACGAUCAGUAGCUGGUCUGAGAGGAUGAUCAGCCACACUGGAACUGAGACACGGUCCAGACUCCUACGGGAGGCAGCAGUAAGGAAUAUUGCUCAAUGGGGGAAACCCUGAAGCAGCAACGCCGCGUGAAGGAUGAAAUACUUUGUAUGUAAACUUCUGUAAGAUGGGAAAAUAUUCUCCUCGGGAGAAUUGAUUGUACCAUCAGAGUAAGCCCCGGCUAACUACGUG
rnacentral:rRNA from 1 species